UACGUAGGGGGCAAGCGUUAUCCGGAUUCACUGGGUGUAAAGGGAGCGUAGACGGCGACGCAAGUCUGGAGUGAAAGCCCGGGGCUCAACCCCGGGACUGCAUUUGGAACUGUAUGGCUGGAGUGUCGGAGAGGCAGGCGGAAUUCCUAGUGUAGCGGUGAAAUGCGUAGAUAUUAGGAGGAACACCAGUGGCGAAGGCGGCCUGCUGGACGAUGACUGACGUUGAGGCUCGAAAGCGUGGGGAUCGAACAGG
rnacentral:rRNA from 1 species